UUACGCGUGCCGCCGGAUGCUGCGCACCCAAACUGGCAUCAUUCGCUGCCAGCUGCUUCGGUGCAACGUCAAGGGUGCUGGAAUCUACUUUUCCAUUCCGUAUCGACUUGACCUGAUUCAGGUGUGCCAGCGAAUUUCCGUCAACGCCAGGUUCGUUCUGAGUAAUAAGCUCGUCCUGUUGAGUCUUCAGGAUCCGCUGCCGAAGAUUCUGAAGGGCUUCGUCGUGUUCUUCCCGAAUUUUACAUGUAGACACUACGGCGUGGUGAUGAGUUUCUCGCAUGGGAGGUAAGGCUUCUCGACCACAGAGGAAAUGUUCUCUCCCAUUUGCCUGCGGAUCGUUCCUACAGCAAGUGCGUGAGCAGAGGCUGACUCCCGGUGAAUUACAGAAAUCGGUCCCGUGGAACACGAUACAGGGCGAAGUUGAGCGGGCGCAUCUACUUCGGUGCAAGCUGCGGAGGUUGGGACACGACGCUGAAAAUGCUCUACAUCCAGGCCUUCGCUUACUCAACAGGAAGCCCAAACCUGCCUCAGUUGCCUCGUGUUCACCUGUUCGAGGUUUGGGGCACCCCGCAGGCGAGACAGGUAAAGGUGGAGUGCAACUGCCUUCUCGGCUAGCGUCUACUGCGGGAGGAUUUGAUUCCAAGUGUCGAUUACCCGGGGGGGCUGCGUGCUUCUGAGCUGGUGACGUCAGCGUUGGUCUAAGUACGACAGGGGAGCAGGAGAUUAAAAAAGUGUUUGUCCUGUCGCCGCAAGAGGGAUGCACUCCGCUCUCAUUUUGCACGCUGCGAACAAGCUCUUCCAGGUUCUUGAUAGCCUGCCACUGUUUCUGUAUGGCAUUGUCUAACUUGCUAUUUUGAUUGUGAAUGACACGGGUCAAAGCAUCCUCUCUUUUCUUUACGGUCUCCUCACAUUUUUUAAUACGCCGUUCCAGGCUGGCGCGGCUUUCACAUUCGUUCUGCAGCUUGCCGCAAGCUUCGAGCAACGUGGACCGUACUUCCUGGGCGCUUCGAUCCGUAUACGCCAACGUCGACUGCAAGUCACCGUGCGUCGGGAGUGACGCAGCAUAGAUUUUCAAGUCGUCAAUGCGUUGUUCUGCAGCGCUUAAUUGCAACUCUGUGCACAUCCGCCUCUCGAUAGAGUUUAUUGACGCAAGCAGAGAGCGAAAUGCGUGCCGCAAGCUGUUCUGUAAACAUAUCCGUACAGCAACGCUUGUCUAGCCAGGUGACUUUUGCCUCCGCCUUCCCGUUCUACUAAGGUCUUGCAAAUAUGGUGGUAAGAAGCGAAGCAAUGCAUCUUCCCUUCCUCGGCAACAACAGGGACGGCCUUGGGCCACGGUACUACAAGGACAGCGCCUGUAACGCGGAAACGGAGCUUCCUGCGUAUAUGCGGCACGACGAGGUGGGAGUGAAGCACGCGACGCCGUGAGGCUUCCGAGCGCACAUGAAGCAACGAAGACAUGUGCGGCGUGAAUGAAACAUUAAGACUUUUCGCCUAGAACAUAACCGAUGUGGAAUGACCUUAAUGUAGUAGGAUAUUGAAAUCCAACACUGUACUCAACUCUGUUCCUAAGGAUCGUGCCUAUUUUCACCCUAUAAUGCAACAUGUGAAAAGCACUGUAUCAGCGAACGUUGGCAGAAGGGAGUUGCUAGUUACCUGCAGGUUCAUCCAAGUUAAUGGACCGUCCAAAAUUUUCUCGAGUGAUAAUUCAUCCAUUGCGAGGUGACACACACGCACACAGAAACCGUUUGGUUGUCCACUUCUCUCGAAGCAGUUGCUCUCCGCUUAGAGCACUGCGUUUGCGUUUCUACGCCACACUCUGUUUCCAGAGCCCAGCAAAAAGAGUAUGCAACUUCAAGUUAAAAUCUUAAAGCGGGGUUUUCGAAAUAACACCGAGCUCCCGGCUCAGGUAAAAGCGAUGUGCAACCGAGUCUCUCUGGUAGACUGCAAAGCAUUCUCUUCGGUGCCAUGCCGACACUCUGUCGUCUGUUUGCGCAGCCGUUCUUGG
rnacentral:lncRNA from 1 species